rnacentral:rRNA from 1 species
GAUGAACGCUGGCGGCGUGCCUAACACAUGCAAGUCGAGCGAACAGAUAAGGAGCUUUCUCCUUUUACGUUAGCGGCGGAUGGGUGAGUAAUACGUGGGUAACCUAUCUUUAAGACUGAAAUAACUCCGGGAAACCUGGUCUAAUGCCCGUUAUCAUUUAGAACCUCAUGGUUCUAAAGUGAUCGAUGUUUUUGCUAUCACUUAUAGAUGGUCCCUCGUCGUAUUAGCUAGUUGGUAAGGUAACGGCUUACCAAGGCAACGAUACGUAGCCGACCUGAGAGGAUGAUCGGCCACACUGGAACUGAGACACGGUCCAGACUCCUACGGGAGGCAGCAGUAGGGAAUCUUCCGCAAUGGGCGAAAGCCUGACGGAGCAACGCCGCGUGAGUGAUGAAGGUCUUCGGAUCGUAAAGCACUGUUAUUAGGGAAGAACAAAUGUGAAAGUAAAUGUGCACGUCUUGACGGUACCUAAACAAAAAGCCACGGCUAACUACGUG